CCUACGGGAGACAGCAGUGAGGAAUAUUGGUCAAUGGGCGGAAGCCUGAACCAGCCAAGUAGCGUGCAGGAUGACGGCCCUACGGGUUGUAAACCGCUUUUAUACGGGAACAACGCGCCUUACGUGUAGGGCUUUGCAUGUACCGUAAGAAUAAGGAUCGGCUAAUUCCGUGCCAGCAGCCGCGGUAAUACGGAAGGUCCGGGCGUUAUCCGGAUUUAUUGGGUUUAAAGGGUGAGGAGGCCGCAGGGCAAGCUUGCGGUGAAAUUGCGGGGCACAACCCCGGCCUUCCGGGGAAACUGGGUGCCUUGAGUGAGCGAGAAGGAGGCGGAAUGCGUGGGGGAGCGGGGAAAUGCAUAGAUAUGACGAAGAACCCGGAUUGCGAAGGCAGCAUACCGGCGCGCAACGGACGCGGAGGCACGAAAGCGUGGGUAUCGAACAGGAGUAGAUACCCUUGUAGUC
rnacentral:rRNA from 1 species